GCUAAAAGUUUGUGUUUUUCUGUUUUAGGUGGUCUGAGUUUUCAUGAGUUUCCUAGGCUAACUACCCCAGGCAUGGUAUGUUAAUAUACUGUCUUUAUCAUAUGGUAACAAGAGUUUUAUUUAGUCUUUUUUAAGAAGUUUUUUUUUUGUUAUUUUUGCAUUUAGAUUGCACAAGACUUGUACACAUUACACCAGGAUGCAGCUCCAAAACUCUUAGAGAAAUGGCUCCCUUGAUAUACCGAUAGGAUCUUGCAUUUUUCUAAACCAGAAGCAAAGCUUCCAUGUUCAGUUGAGGAGAUGACACAAGAUGCAAAGGGAUAUCUUGCAUUAAAGCUGCUCCCUGUUUUGCUUCCACCUCCACCCUUCAAAACUGCCAGAAAAAGUCCGGGCCAGAAUUGAUGAUGGCAAAAAAGCUUUCAUCGACAUUCAGCCUGUUGGAACAAAUAUGAUGGAGUACCUCCAGCAGGCUGAAGCAUCAGGACUUUACCCUUAUUUCCUGUCACUUGAAAAUGGACACGAGAAAAUGAGUCCCAGGCAUUCGUCAUCCUUGGAGGAGAAACUUUGGACAAGGCACUUAGAUUGGGGUAGUAGAAGCACUACAUUCUUGCAAGUAAAUGACAAGAGGUUUUUUGAAUAGACUGGGUUUCAGGUACAAGAGUUAUCAUUUUAGUUUUUUUUACAGACUUAAAGGUGCUCUAACCGAAUCUGUGUGACGUUACUUUUUGUUGAUGUUUGAACUGUUUUCAAACAAACGGAGCAUAGCUAACUCCUCCCCUCCCUUCCGUGCUUUCAUGAACGCGCCCAACCCUCACCCCCAAAUCCUUCUUGUCGUUAAUUGGCUGGAACACUUUGUUAUCCUUUCUGAUGGUAGGUUUGGCCACUUUAUUUUUAUUGCAGUUUGUGGAGCCUGGGCUGUCUACAGAGAUCGCGUUUUUACAGUUUGAUCAGCAGACAGGCAGCAAGCAGAUAGUGAGGAGAUGUUUGCUGUAUGUAACAAAAAAUGUUUUAUGGUCUAAAACACGUGAAUUCGCUUAGAGCACCUUUAAGGAAGAGUAUUACUUGCUGAAUAUUAAUGACAUGUUUAUGAAAUGUUACACUGGCAAAAUGCUGUAUUUCAUAGUUUUUUUGUGUGUGUUCAAAAUGUAGACUAAAACAAUACUGCUUUGUAACAAACAGUUGUUCUUAAAGGUAUUUUAUGAAUUUCAUGAAUUUUUUUAAAAUGUUAAAACAUAUAGGGGCGGUUUCACAGACAAGGAUAAGACUAGUCCUAGACUAAAGUAAAUGUAAGAGCUGUCCAAACUGAAAACUACUUGCACUGACAUAUCUUAAAAUUCAUCAAUGCCCUUUGUUUUCCCUCAAAAUGUUUUCCACCCCUUACACUUUUGCAAUUAGAGGCAAGUGAAGAAAUUGUUUAAAAAUGGAAUUUUAUUAUUUAUUGUAUUUAUAGUUUUGUAUGAUCUCCUGAAUUUUUGAUUGAGCUAUUGUGUACAAAGUGUACGUUACACACAUUGAAUUUGUUACAUUACACAAAGUGUAAUAUGCUAAAAAAUAUUAAUGAAAAAUAAAGUUAAUACAAUGUUGACCUGUUUGUUUAUCUUGUGGUUUUUAAUUUUAAAUGAUAAUCUUAAAAGGAAUAAAAAUAACCCUAUAUACAUUUUUAACCCAUUUAUGAAGUCAA